rnacentral:sRNA from 1 species
UAUCAAUUCACCAACUGAAUCAGGCAGAGCAAGUUGACUUCGGAAGUUCCAAAGCGAUAAAACUCUCAAGUACUUAAGCCUUGACACUAUAAUACUCGGUGCCUUAUCGUUGUUGAAUGGGGAAUCUUUAUAAUCGAUUAGCAAGAAAGUUCUUGGAAAUUUUACUGUGUCAAAAGCUUCAAUAUCCGAGACUGGAUCACUGAAUCUUGUUAAUGACAAAUGCCGAGUCUUUCUGUCUAUAUUGGUUUCUUUCCCAAGUUCAUCUGUUCUGAAAUAGAAGUCCCCACCAAGAAAUGUUGCUAGAUCAUGAAUGAGGUCGUGCAUUACAAAGUAAGCACCCCCACUCCGACUUGAAUAUUGAAAAAAGCAUCUCGAUACCAAAUCAUCAAAAUACUCUUGACCAACUUCUUCUAAAGUCUUUCCUUUUUUCACUGCUUUUAUAAGAUCUUCAGCCAUCCACUGCUGGAUCAGUUCAUCUUUUUGAAAUUCAUAAUCUUUGGGGUACAAUGAGCAAUAAACGAAACACCGUUUUAAAUGUGGAGGGAGAUAAUUAUAACUGAUUCUGAGUGCUGGAAUAAUUUUACACUGAUUUUCAGGAAGUUCCCAAAUGUCACUUUGAAGUACAUUAUUCCAAUCCCUAAUAGUCUGCUUUCUUCUCAACAUUCCUCCAAGUGACUGUGCGGCUAACGGCAACCCGUUGCACUUUUUAACAAUCUCCUUUCCAAUCUUUUCUAGAGUUCCUCUAGUCUCACUGGCUUCCGAGAGAGGAAAUGCAUGGUUUGCAAACACCGACCAACAAUCUUCAUUUGACAAUUUGUUUAGAUGAUAUACUUCAACAGUAUGAAAAGGCACUGCAGCCGCUACAUUUUCAUUGCGGGUUGUGAUCAGAACUUUACUGCCCCUAUUCCCGCUUAGAAAUGGUUUUGUAAGACUACUCCAAUUGUCACAAUCCUCGAUCCAAACAUCAUCCAAGACAAUCAAUAAUCUUUUACCCUUCAGUUCGUCCAUCAGCUCAAGUUGAAGAGCAUUUAGAUCACUCAAUUUACAAGGCUUUCGGGUAAUUUCCUCUAUCAUAGUUCUUGUGACCUUCACAAUAUCAAAUAUAUCAGAAACACAAACCCAUGCCUUUAAAUCAAAUAUUUUCUGCUUCAAUUUGCCAUCGUUGAACACAGAUCUCGCCAAAGUGGUUUUUCCAACCCCACCCAUGCCUACAAUAGGGAUCACAGACACUGUUUCACCAUUGGUGCUAUCCUCUAACACCAUCUUCAUUAUGGCCUCCUUAUCUUUCUCUCUACCAUACAUAGCAUAUCCAUCUUCCAAAGAUGUUGGCUGAGCUUUCCAUGGCUGGUAGCUCUCCACGGGAAUCUCCUUCAAAUCAAGAUUCUCUUUUUGUUUUAAAAUGUCAUCAAAUCUUUCAACUAUGUCUUCCAACUUAGUAAUACUAACAAUCUUCUUCGUUUUGAAAAGGUGAGAAAAUGAAUUGCUUACCUCCUUUUGAGUAGCAGCUUUAGUAGAAAUUUCAUCAAGUAAGUCAUCAACCUCAUAGACAACAUCUCUGAGAAGAUCGAGCCACUCUUUGACAUUGGAGUCUGUGAUUUGUCUCUUCUCAGCAUCAGCAAGCACAACUCUGACAACUAUGAGCUGGGUUUUCACCUUUUGAAGCAACUUGUCAGGCUUCUUUCCUCGGAUAAAGUUGAGAACCUCAGGGGAGGCAAGCCUGUCGAAAAGAACGUCAAAGAAAGCAGAGAGGAGCGCACCACCUACCACAGCUAAUGCCAUGAUCUCAACAGAAAGCAAGUGAUUGAUGAUCAGAGUAGCAAACAAAAAUGCAAAGGAAAGGAAUUGGUCGUAAGAAAUGAGUUGAACUGAUGGGAGGAGACUUCACUUGACUCUCUUCAUUUCAACUUUCUACGUUUCGUCCGUACCCUGAUCAAAAUAAACCGUUGGAUAUAUAUUAAAAGUUUUAACGGUUGAAAUUGAAGAUUAGAA